rnacentral:rRNA from 1 species
UGCGAAGGGGGCUAGCGUUGCUCGGAAUCACUGGGCGUAAAGCGCACGUAGGCGGAUUGUUAAGUCAGGGGUGAAAUCCUGGAGCUCAACUCCAGAACUGCCUUUGAUACUGGCGAUCUCGAGUCCGGGAGAGGUGAGUGGAACUGCGAGUGUAGAGGUGAAAUUCGUAGAUAUUCGCAAGAACACCAGUGGCGAAGGCGGCUCACUGGCCCGGUACUGACGCUGAGACGCGAAAGCGUGGGGAGCGAACAGG